rnacentral:lncRNA from 1 species
AUACCUGGCUCAAGAGACACUCAUAGAAAUCUUCAGCUGCAGUAAUUUAUGAUUUCUUGCAACAAAUGAUUAAACCAAUUCUCUGAUUAAUCAAAAUUGUACUUUGGAGUUAGCCACAUGAGACCAGAAUUUUAAAUCAAGUUAUGCAGACUGCAGCAAUAUAAAGAACAAGAUUGAAAAAUUAAUUCUAUCAGAAAUAUUUAGUACACAAGCGUUAAUCUUCCUUUAGACUUCUUGAAAGAUCAAAGCCACACUCAAGCAAACUUUAAAAUAUACACUUUGCCAGGCACCAAGGAAAAUGUCAUAUUCUUUUAAGAGGUGCACAGUGUUACCGUGAAUCAUUUCUCCUUGAAGGACUUCCACACUGUUUAUAUCAGUAGCUUGCUUUGAUGGAGGCUCUUCUCUUACCACCUUUUCUAGUUACUAUUUGUGCCCUGUCCCCAGAACUAAAGGGAAACACCUGAAUUCUUUCCAUUUCCUAUUGCUCCUUCCACAAAUAGAAUUCAGUAACACUCCCUCAUUUGAUGUUCAAGUCACUUAACUAGACCACUUUUUUUCCAUCUGCAAGUCAUCCACUGAGUUCCAUCUUCAUUUCUCCACUUUGCUCAAACUUGGCUUAGUUUUCUUUUCUGUUCCAUCCAUGCUGUUGACCUUCAUUCAUUCACUCAUUCCAUGUUUUCUUC